rnacentral:rRNA from 1 species
AAAGUGAAUAGUGAAAUCUGGAGGCUCAACCUUACAGGCUAUUAUUCAAACUCACAAACUCGAGAGUAGCAGAGGUAACUGGAAUUUCUUGUGUAGGAGUGAAAUCCGUAGAUAUAAGAAGGAACACCAAUGGCGUAGGCAGGUUACUGGGCUAUUUCUGACACUGAGGCACGAAAGCGUGGGGAGCGAACCGGAUUAGAUACCCGGGUAGUCCACGCCGUAAACUAUGGAUACUA